GUGCCAGCCGCCGCGGUAAUACGUAGGUGGCAAGCGUUGUCCGGAUUUACUGGGCGUAAAGGGCGUGCAGGCGGUUUGCUAAGUCUAGGGUGAAAGCUCCCGGCUCAACUGGGAGAGGUCCUUGGAUACUGGCGAACUUGAGGGAUGCAGAGGAAAGUGGAAUUCCCGGUGUAGUGGUGAUAUGCGUAGAUAUCGGGAGGAACACCAGUGGCGAAGGCGGCUUUCUGGGCAUUUCCUGACGCUGAGACGCGAAAGCGUGGGGAGCGAACCGGAUUAGAAACCCUGGUAGUCC
rnacentral:rRNA from 1 species